AAAAUAAUCCUACCCUUUGUGAAUUUUGUUUGUUUGAAUAAUUUUUUUUUUUAAAAAAUUAUUGGAGUCUUUCCCUUUAGAGUUUGCUUUUGAGUUUGUAAAAGAAUUCGAAAACAUCUAAAGGGGAUGGUCAAUAAUUUUUUUUGAAAAAAGACAUUUUUAAAAUUAAACUUUUUGUAUUCAUUUGUCUAAAAUUAUUUUUAUAAUAUAAAAACAACUUUUGACAAUGGAUCUCUUGGUUCUCGCAACGAUGAAGAACGCAGCAAAAUGCGAUAAGUAGUGUGAAUUGCAGAAUACGUGAAUCAUCGAAUCUUUGAACGCAUAUUGCACUUUUUUAGUUUACUAAAAAAGUAUGUCUGUUUGAGUAUCAGUAAAAUAUUCUCAUAAAAAUCAUUGUGUAUUUUUAUGGUUAUGAGUGUUUUACAACGAUACAAGUUGUUUCACUUUAAAUUUUUUUUAAUAUUGAAAUUUUUCUAAUUUUAAUAAUUAAAAUUGGAUAAAAUUUUCCCGUCAAAAGGAAUAACCUAAACAAUUUUAAAUGAUUAAUUUUAGCAAAAUUUUCGUAAAAAAGGAAAAUUUUUAUUAAAAUAACUUGAUCUCAAAUCAGAUAAGAGUACCCGCUGAACUUAAGCAUAUCAAUAAGCGGAGGAAAAGAAACUAACAAGGAUUCCCUUAGUAACGGCGAGUGAAGCGGGAAGAGCUCAAAUUUGAAAUCUUCAAGGUUUUACCUUGACGAAUUGUAGUUUAAAGAAGUGUUUUCUGCUGAAGUUUUGGUAAAAGUUCUUUGGAAUAGGACAUCAUAGAGGGUGAGAAUCCCGUAUUUGACCAUUAUUUUCAGCUUUGUGAUACACUUUCAAAGAGUCGGAUUGUUUGGGAAUGCAGUCCAAAAUGGGUGGUAAAUUUCAUCUAAAGCUAAAUAUUGGCGAGAGACCGAUAGCGAACAAGUACCGUGAGGGAAAGAUGAAAAGAACUUUGAAAAGAGAGUUAAACAGUACGUGAAAUUGUCAAAAGGGAAGCGUUUGACACCAGUGUUGUUUUCUCGAAAAUCAAUUAAAAAUGGCUCGAUUUUGUAUUGCUGAGACCUUAAAAGCUCACUGUACAUUUUUCGUGUCUUUUUUAAUGCACUUUUCGUUUAACAAGUCAACAUCAGUUUCUUUUGUUGUAAAAGGGUCAUUGGAAGGUGGCUUUCUUUUCGGAGAAAGUGUUUAUAGCCUUUGGCCUCUGCAAUCGAGAGACUGAGGUCUGCAGCGUAGACUCUUCGGGGUUAGAUACAUUUGUGCUAAGUUAUAGCUUUUUAUAGACAACUUGUUGACUAUAAUUAGUCUUGUAGCUUACUCGCUUAUGCUAUUUUACCUACGCUUAGGAUG
rnacentral:misc_RNA from 1 species